UGUUUCUACCAUGUAAUUUGUUUAGCAAAAUGCAGAGCAAUACAGAAUGCAAACAUAUUUAGGUAGUUGGUAUAUGUGCUUUUGAAGAUUGUAAUAUUUUAAGUAAUAUUUCAAACUUUAGGUGGUGAAAGGGGAUUCUAUUUGCGAUGAAUGUGGAAUUCUUAUAAUUGAUAUGUUUGGUAGUCAAAUAUAAAACUUGUGGUGGUUUAGUUAUUUUAUGAAAAAUGACUAUGUAAACUAGGAAGUUGAUCUUUUACUAGAGUGGU
rnacentral:lncRNA from 1 species